UUAAAGGGGCUGAGUAGGGGAUCAGCAGGCCGUGGGAAGGAGAGAUGCCUUACUCAGUUUCCGCAGAGCCUGCUUCAGCUGGGACGUGGUGUGUUGGUCCAGUAGCUGGCAGGAGGGGAUCCCAGUGGCUGGCAGCCCUAAAUUGUGGCCCAAAUUGGAGGAGAGGGCCUCUGGGUGCCUUUAAGGAUCUGCACUCACCCUGGCAUAUCCCUACACCCCAAGGGAGCACUCCCUCAGGCCAGCUCCGUACCUGGGGUCCUCCUCUGUCUCCUUCCAAGCUUCCAAGUGUGACCUGCCUUCUUCAGGCACUUUCCCCUGCCUUUUAACGAGAGGCCCCGCGUUUUCAUUUGCACAGAGCCCUGCAAAUGAUGCAGCUAGUCUUGCAAGUUGGUGCAACGUAUGGAAACCCAAGGACGCUUUCUGCUCUUGGAAUUACCCACAUUCGUCGGUUCUUCCGCACUUGAACGUGAAGAGAAGAGUGGUGCGUGGAGAUGACCGAGGCAGAAACACCCGGGGGAGCACUUUCAGCACUCUGGCCGGGCUGGUCUUCGACUGGAUGAUCGUGAAGGACACGGAGGCCGGCGGGUUCUCAGACUCCCAUAACGUGCUGCGGUGGUGAGACUCAGAGCUUUGCAUCUUUGGUGGGAACAUCACAGAGGUGCGACUCUUAGGCUUCUGAUUGCACUUACCGCGCCUUCGCCCGUCACUGAUGACAUCACUGUCACCACUUGGGUGAGGUGGCGUCUGCCAGGGUGCCCCACUGUGAAGUCCCUCUCUUACCUCCUUUGCGAUCAAAUCCUCACGUUCUUGGAGUCUAUGUACAUACCUCCUUCCUACAUCUCAGAGAUGGAGAAGGCAGCCAAGCAGGGGGCACCGUCUUGGUGUCUGGGAUGAGGACCGGGAGCUCCAAGAUCAAGGCUCGCCUCCAGGAGGCCGUCUACAAGUGUUCAUAGUCCACCCUGGUGACAGGUGGGUACUUGAGACUGGCCGCCUGUACGAAAUUACCAUCGAAGUGCUUGACGAGUCUGGCAGCAAGGUCUACCUGUCAGACAACAUCUGAAUUGAAACCGUGCUUUCCUCCUGAGUUCUUUGAGGUGCUCUCUUCUUCCCAGAAUGGGUCAUACUAUCACGUCGGGACAGUAAAGAG